rnacentral:piRNA from 1 species
AAGGUUCAGUUCUUUACAGAGCCC